rnacentral:rRNA from 1 species
UUAGGUUGGAAAAUUCGCUUAGAAUCAGGUAUGAGCAGAAUCUCAAAGUUGAAUCAAUUCUAUAAACAAAGAGCUAAAAAACACUUUGCUAAAGGUGGUGAUAGAAAUACUAGAUUUUUUCAUCAAGCGGUUCUCAAAAGGAGGAAAAGAAACACUAUUGUAUCCAUCAAAGAUGAAAAUGAUAUUGUCCAUUUUAAGCCCACUCAAAUUGCUAAUACUUUUGUUAACUAUUUCAGUAAUGUGGGCAGACCUUUCCUCGGGACUCAGCCGUUGAUUCAGCCAAACGACUUCACUUAUUCCAUCCCAGAUAAACAAGAAAUAUUGCAGAUUCUGAAAGAGAUGAAGCUUAAUGCAUCACCGGGACCGGAUGGUUUCAAUGUUGAGUUCUACCUGGCUACAUGGGACUGGAUUGGAGAGGAUGUCACUACCCUUGUAGAUGAGUUCUACCACACAGGUAUCUUACCCCCUCAUAUUAGCGAUAUUAAUAUUGCCCUAAUUCCUAAGAAGCUUGUUCCUCAGCUUCCUACAGACUAUAGA